UACGGGGGGUGCAAGCGUUGUCCGGAAUCAUUGGGCGUAAAGCGUUCGUAGGCGGUAUGUCAAGUCUGAUGUUAAAGCCCGGGGCUCAACUCCGGUUCGGCAUUGGAUACUGGCAAACUAGAAUGUGGUAGAGGUAAAGGGAAUUCCUGGUGUAGCGGUGAAAUGCGUAGAUAUCACGCAGAACCCCGAUUGCGAAGGCAGCAUACCGGUGCACAACUGACGCUCAGGCACGAAAGCGUGGGUAUCGAACAGG
rnacentral:rRNA from 1 species